GCCUUUGACCACCCCACCCGGAAUGUGCCCCAUCUCAUCAGAUGUCGGAAGCUAAGCCGGGGUUGAGCCUCGAUAGCGAUUGAUUGGGUGACCACCAUGCACAGCAGGUGAUUUAAGCA
rnacentral:rRNA from 1 species